UUUUCAUUUUUAUGCUCCAACCUUCUCAUCUAUUAUCUUUUUAUCUAAAAUUCUUCCCUCUCCCAAGCCUUCUCCCCCUCUCUAAAAAUCUGUGUUCUAUCUUUAACCUUCUUCACCUCUCUCUAAAAAUUUUCCUUGUCUGUCUAAACUUCACCCCUCUCUCUAAAAACAAAAAGGGUUUUAGUUAAAGAAAGGGAGUAUAUGAUGCUUCGGACUUCAAGAAAAAAGGAAGUGGGAGGAAGCCUAAAAAGAAAAGUUAUGGGUGAAAAUGGGGGGAAAAUGAGAAGAAACGAUGUAGCUUGUUGAAUCAGGACAUGGCAAAGUCUACCCGUUAAAGGUAGUUCAGGGAGCUCAAAUAUCGGAUACCCGACUCGCUUGAGGCUGUUAUAGACGAUGCUGACAUUAACCUCCAAUUGCUUGAUGCAGGUCAGUGGUGAAUGGAACCUUAAAAAAAUCUCUCCAAAAUAUCUACAAUGAGGUGAGCUUCGAGAGACUUUUUUUCUCCUUGCUUCUGCACUUGGUGCAUGGCUGUUUGGCUUUAAAACUCUUCACUGGUUUGCAAGCUUCUUUUCAUGCAUUUUUGCCACACCAAAAAGUCCUCUUUAUAGCCAAUGGGAGCUCUCCAAAGUGCCAGCUCAUAUGCUUCUUAAAAUCUCCUUCAAGUCUUCAAAAGAUAAUUAUGUUUGUAGUUUGGAACUUCUUAUUGGAUUUUGUUAUCAAUUUUUUCCUAAUUGUUUUACAUGUUUAAUUUGAACCAUUUUGGUCCAAAGGUGAUUGGUGAAAAUGAUAAUAAAUUUGUUCCUAAAGUUAUGAUAUUUACAAUGAAGCUGAGAGCAGAUCCAGCUUUUUUUUACAAUCGAGCAUGACCAUAAAAUGAGAAUUGAGAUUGCUUUUCUUACAAUGAAGCUAAAAGCAGAUCCAGCUGUGUUUUCCAUACAUGCACAUGUAAUAACUCUACAGAUGGCAUAUUAUCCCUUAGAACAAAGGAUAGAUAUGAUAGUUUUACCAUCUAGCAACAUGCAUAUCAUGGAAUACUUAACAUGAACUAAAGCUUAUUUAUUCUGCCAAAUUUUCUUUUACUUAGUGAACUUCGUCUGCUUAGGAGGAAGGUUUCUUGUAGAUUUUCAAGUUUCAAAAACUGCAAAAGAGGAUGCUAAACUUAUGGACAAUUAGAUCAUUUUGUCUUUUAUCAAUUUAGGUGUUAAACAUUAUUAGUGACUUGGUUUCAACAGCUAAAGAAAACAAUUCUAAAUUUCCAUUUGCUUUACUAGAUUUUUCUUAAAUUAUAGGUAAAGAACUAUAAACAAAAUCGAAGAAGAAACCAGCUUAACUGCUAAUCAUUAUUAUCGACUUAAUUUUAAUAUAUAACCCAAUUUUUCUUUAGAGAAAUAAUAGACCUUAGCCAUUGUUUUGUUCUUGACCUUUUGAUUUGAACUCUAAUAAACACAAAGUGUACAUGAAUUAUUUCUUUUAGAUAUUUAGCUCUUAUGCUACUUUAAUGUCUUAGGAUUUAAAACUCUGAUUGCAUUGCUUUUUUUAUUUUGUCAAAAACUUUUAUAAGCAGACUAAACAAAAACUAGAUAGAGUUGGGAUGAUGAUCUAAUGAUCAUCAAAUUCAGAAAGAAAAGUAAACUCUUUAAACAGUGCAAAUUUUUAGACCCACCCAGGAACUAUCACUGGUUUAUGGUAAUCUUCAAAUAGCUUAAUUAUCAGGUGGACUUGAAGAAAUCCAAAUAUAUUGUGAUUGUGCUGGUUUGCCAAAUGGUGAACCAUUAAAGUUAAAAAUUCUCCAAAGAAUUUAAUUUGUGCUAUGUUUUGGGCUUUACAUUUCCUAUGCUUGGAGGAUGGGAAUCUCAAUUUUAUGAGAAUCCACCUUUGGAAGUAGGUGAACCAUUUGGGUUAAACCCAAGGUUCACCUCGAUCAAAUCUGAUUGGAUUUACAAGGGAUUUCUGCUUUAUACUACAUUCUAUGGCCAUUUUCAGCACCAGUGAUUCUUAAUGCAUGCUUUGAACGUUGAAACACUAGUAAAGUUGGGAGUAUUGACUCACGGAAAAUCCUUCCUUAAUACUAUUGGUUGGGCAUUCGGAUUUUGUGGUUCUAGACAUGUUAUCAUAAUGUUAUUGGUUGGGCAUCCAGAUGUGUAGUGUAUAUAAAACUUAUGGAAUUUUAAUUCUAUGAAUGGACAUUCAAAUGUCUUACAUUGGAAGCCUCUCCAAUUGAUCUUGUCAUGAUUUAAAUCGAUUUUCUUGAUAUGAAACAUUUUCUAAACUAUUUUAUAGCUUUUUGAACACUAAUUUCUCAUUUAAAUUGAUUAACACACUGAGUUUAACCAAUUAUCUUUCAUUCUUUCACUAAAUUUUGAAAAUAUUUCAACAUGGUAUUUUUAAGACAAAACCAAGCAUUAUAUCUUUUAUCCAUAAAUU